rnacentral:rRNA from 1 species
UACGGGGGGAGCAAGCGUUGUUCGGAUUUACUGGGCGUAAAGGGCGCGUAGGCGGUCGUGACAAGUCACUUGUGAAAUCUCCGGGCUUAACUCGGAACGGUCAAGUGAUACUGUCGGACUAGAGUACAGAAGGGCAACUGGAAUUCUCGGUGUAGCGGUGAAAUGCGUAGAUAUCGAGAGGAACACCUGCGGCGAAGGCGGGUUGCUGGCUGAUACUGACGCUGAGGCGCGAAGCGUGGGAGCGAACAGG